AGACAGGGAGAGGCACCCUGACCCGGCUCCUUUGUCCCCUUGCCUCCCUCCAGAUGGGCCGAAAGUCCGUGAAGUCUGUCCUGUGGGUGUCAGCCGAUGGGCUCCGAGUGGUGGAUGACAAAACCAAGGAUCUUCUGGUCGACCAGACCAUCGAAAAGGUCUCCUUUUGUGCUCCUGACCGUAACCUGGACAAGGCUUUCUCCUAUAUCUGCCGUGACGGGACCACCCGCCGCUGGAUCUGCCACUGUUUUCUGGCACUCAAGGACUCCGGCGAGAGGCUGAGCCACGCUGUGGGCUGUGCUUUUGCCGCCUGCUUGGAGCGAAAACAGCGACGAGAGAAGGAAUGUGGGGUCACGGCCGCCUUCGAUGCCAGCCGCACCAGCUUCGCCCGUGAGGGCUCCUUCCGCCUGUCUGGGGGUGGGCGGCCUGCUGAGCGGGAGGCCCCGGACAAGAAGAAAGCAGAGGCAGCAGCUGCCCCCACUGUGGCUCCUGGCCCUGCCCAGCCUGGGCACGUGUCCCCAACACCAGCCACCACAUCCCCUGGUGAGAAGGGUGAGGCAGGCACCCCUGUGGCUGCAGGCACCACU
rnacentral:sRNA from 1 species